rnacentral:rRNA from 1 species
AGAGUUUGAUCAUGGCUCAGAACGAACGCUGGCGGCGUGCUUAACACAUGCAAGUCGAGUGCGCGUGCCGUAGCAAUACGGUAUGGCGCACGGCGCACGGGUGCGUAACACGUGGGCAAUCUGCCCUCCGAUGGGGAAUAACUCCGGGAAACCGAAGCUAAUUCCGCAUAACAUUCCCUGGACUCCGGUUCGGGGAUUCAAAGCAGCAAUGCGUCGGAGGAGGAGCCCGCGCCCGAUUAGCUAGUUGGUGAGGUAACGGCUCACCAAGGCUAUGAUCGGUAGCUGGUCUGAGAGGAUGGCCAGCCACACUGGAACUGAGACACGGUCCAGACUCCUACGGGAGGCAGCAGUGGGGAAUCUUGCGCAAUGGGCGAAAGCCUGACGCAGCGACGCCGCGUGGGGGAUGAAGCUUCUCGGAGUGUAAACCCCUUUCGACCGGGACGAAUGCCCGCAAGGGAGUGACGGUACCGGUAGAAGAAGCCCCGGCUAACUACGUGCCAGCAGCCGCGGUAAGACGUAGGGGGCCAGCGUUGUUCGGAAUUACUGGGUGUAAAGGGUUCGUAGGCGGUGUGGCAAGUCGGGAGUGAAAUUUCUGGGCUUAACUCAGAACCUGCUUCCGAAACUGCUGUGCUGGAGUGUGGGAGAGGCGCGUGGAAUUGCAGGUGUAGCGGUGAAAUGCGUAGAUAUCUGCAGGAACACCCGUGGCGAAAGCGGCGCGCUGGACCACUACUGACGCUGAGGAACGAAAGCUAGGGGAGCAAACAGGAUUAGAUACCCUCGUAGUCC